rnacentral:tRNA from 1 species
GGAGAGGUGGCCGAGAGGCCGAAGGCGCGCCCCUGCUAAGGGCGUAUAGGGAAACCUAUCGAGGGUUCGAAUCCCUCCCUCUCCGCCA